rnacentral:rRNA from 1 species
UACGGGGGGGGCAAGCGUUGUUCGGAAUUACUGGGCGUAAAGGGCUCGUAGGUGGCCAACUAAGUCAGACGUGAAAUCCCUCGGCUUAACCGGGGAACUGCGUCUGAUAUUGGAUGGCUUGAGUUCGGGAGAGGGAUGCGGAAUUCCAGGUGUAGCGGUGAAAUGCGUAGAUAUCUGGAGGAACACCGGUGGCGAAGGCGGCAUCCUGGACCGGCACUGACACUGAGGAGCGAAAGCCAGGGGAGCAAACGGG